rnacentral:lncRNA from 8 species
CUAAUUUGAAGGGGUGUGCACAUACUUUUGUAUAUAGUGUAUUUUAUUGUAGUGCCAUGUAGCCAUCCCACAUGGGAUUAUAAGACACAUUGAUAUUAGAAUCAGUUCGAGCACCAUCGUAAAAAUGAAUUAAAAAUAAACAAUUAUGAGGCUCAAAGCAGUGUUCCCAGCAAACUCUUAAUACUGACAACCACAUUUCUUUCAGCACUGUCAAAUCUCUCUCUCUCUCUCGGAGAAGAUGGCUCUCAUUGACCUCAUCGAGUGGUUUCAACUCCUGAAGGGCCACUCCAUACUCAUCCUGGAAGGCACCUUUAAGAAGAGCCUUCUCCCUAAGAGCAUCUAUGUUACUGGAAAGUGACAAUACACAUAGCUGCCCUGAGGAAUCCCCACUUCAUGGGCUGGACAACCUCCUGGCAGAGUAUGCUGAGGGUCACCCCAAGUCCUACAUCCAGAUUGUCGACAAAGAAGUGAAGUUAGCUGAAACAGGAAAGAUCUGGGUGGAUGAGGACAGGGUGGAUCACAACCCCAAAAUGAAACGCCACCAGGGAACCUCCUGUUUCUUAACACUCUUUAUUAAUUACAGAUGAAGCUACAUAACAAUCAUUACAGAUACAAAAUAUUUCAUUAUCUGAGAUCAGUUUUAAUGAGCAAGAGAACUGCUGCACAUAGAUAGCAACUCAGAGACUCUCACAUGGUUGCUAAUUUUUGCAUUCUCAGGCUGAUCAUUGUUUUAUUAUUUUAGGUGAUCAAACUCCCUUGAUUGUCAGUGAUUUACCUGUAAGGGUGUAGUUAAAGAUAUGGCCCUUUGAGAUAUAAUAUGUUUUAGUGCUUGACAAAUAUAUUUCUCUUGUGACACCCAUGUAGCUUCUCCGGAACUGAGUCAUCCUCUUCAGUUCUCUAGAAAAUAAACAUUUAGCUGGAAUGGAUUGGGCUGAGAACAUCCCACCCUCCCUCUCUCUGUCAGCGUUACCCUAUAAAAGCAGAGCCAUCUCUCCACUCUGCACUAGAACACCUGAUUACUACAACCUUCAAGCGCGCCAUCGCAUCGAGGAAGAACACACAGACACAGCAAUGGAUUGUGCUUCAACUGUCGUCACUUCACAUACCAACAGCAAAAACGACUGCAAUAAAAAAAAAUGUGUUGCCCCAUGUCCUACUGAAUCAGGCAAAAACAUAUCAGGUCAAAACAUAUCAGGCCAAAACAUAUCAGGCCAAAACAUAUCAGGCAGUGUGGGCGGAAGUAUUUCCAUUGGCAACCAGGACAAUACCAUCACUCAUACCGCUUAACAAACAACUCCCAGAAAAACUGUCGCACCCAGCAUCACCAUAGCCAACAUAACAGGUGGCAAAGUGGGUCUCUACUACAAGGCAGAGAAGAUGGCUCUCUGUGACCUCAUCGAGGGAAGUCAACUCAGGAAGGGCCACUCCAUUCUCAUCCUGGAAAACACCUUUAAGAAGACCCCUCUUCCUCCUCUAUGUCACUGGCUUCCAAGUAGAAAGUGACAAUACACACAGAUUAAACUACAUACAAAUUAUUGAUUAAAAAUAAAGAGAGAAUAAAUCUCAGAUAAGUGAAAAAGUGCUACAAGAUAUACUUUGAUUGUAUGUUCAAAUUCAGCAAUGUAAUCAAUGUAGGUUUUUGACAAAAAAAUAAAUGGUACCAAACUGAGAAAAUGUUAGUAUGUGUUCUGUAAGAUGUUAUCAUGAGUGUGUGUGUGUGUGUGUGUGUGUGUGUGUGUGUGUGUGUGUGUGUGUGAUAACAUUACAUGACUGGGGUUGCCACCAGAUAUCCUACAUACUGAUACUAAUUUUAACAAAGGUCAACAACACAAUCUUGUAAUCAAAGUUUUAUUUCUAAGGUUGAAGUCAUGUUAUUGCAAGACACUUACAGGGAGCACAAAUAUAUAUAGCAGAGACAAAGUCUGCACAUUUCCUCAUUACAUUGGAUUUGAAAAUCAUUUGAACUAGAAUGUUAGAUAAAUGCAGUGUUUCCCAACUAAAGGUUUGAUGAUUAGUUGAAUCAAGUGUGUUAGUGCUAAGGAAAAAACUAAAAUACAACUACUUUCACGCCACAUGGCUCUGUCCACCCACCCUACAAUUCUGGAAAGAAACCAUACACAAACUGUCCCCCAUUUUGCGUCACAGCAUUCCACUCUUCC